GGCCUAAUGGUCUAGAAGUAUGAUACUCGCUUUGGGCAGUCGUCGAUUGCGAGUGGUCCUGGGUUCAAUUCCCAGUUAGGCCC